AACGAACGCUGGCGGCAUGCCUAACACAUGCAAGUCGAACGAGACCUUCGGGUCUAGUGGCGCACGGGUGCGUAACGCGUGGGAAUCUGCCCUUCGGUUGGGAAUAACUGAGAGAAAUUUCAGCUAAUACCUUAUAAUGUCUUCGGACCAAAGAUUUAUCGCCGAGGGAUGAGCCCGCGUAGGAUUAGGUAGUUGGUGGGGUAAUGGCCUACCAAGCCGACGAUCCUUAGCUGGUCUGAGAGGAUGAUCAGCCACACUGGGACUGAGACACGGCCCAGACUCCUACGUGAGGCAGCAGUGGGGAAUAUUGGACAAUGGGCGAAAGCCUGAUCCAGCAAUGCCGCGUGAGUGAUGAAGGCCUUAGGGUUGUAAAGCUCUUUUACCCGGGAUGAUAAUGACAGUACCGGGAGAAUAAGCUCCGGCUAACUCCGUG
rnacentral:rRNA from 1 species